UACGAAGGGGGCUAGCGUUGUUCGGAUUUACUGGGCGUAAAGCGCACGUAGGCGGAUCGUUAAGUCGGGGGUGAAAUCCUGGAGCUCAACUCCAGAACUGCCUUCGAUACUGGCGAUCUUGAGUCCGGAAGAGGUGAGUGGAACUCCUAGUGUAGAGGUGGAAUUCGUAGAUAUUCGGAAGAACACCAGUGGCGAAGGCGGCUCACUGGCCCGGUACUGACGCUGAUGUGCGAAAGCGUGGGGAGCCAAACAGGGAUUAAGAAACCCCUGGUACGUC
rnacentral:rRNA from 1 species